rnacentral:lncRNA from 1 species
UCCCCAGUGCACUGGGUCAGUGACCUGGCAGCCACUCAGGGCAGGUGGUUCCCAGAGUGGCUGCCAUCCAAGGUGGUCACAAAGGCGGGGCCUCUCACCAAUCACGCGGCCUUGGGCAUGAUCCUUAGCCUCUGCACUUUUACCCCUUGUCUGUAAAUUGGGGGGAACGGCAGCCGUGUCAUCUUUAAAAGGGUGAAAUGUGAGGGCACAGUGCCGGGCACACCAUGUUAUUGUUAUUAAACCUGAUUAAACUCAGGAGGCCUGCGGCACCCUGCAGUCUAUCUUCAGUGGACGCUGGCUGGAGAGGACUUCCCAGGCUGUCACCCUCCAGGGCCUGAUCAGCUGUGCUGGACUCAAGAGGCAAAUCUGGCUUGGGGAGACCCAGGCAGCCCAGGGCAGGUGGCAGCACAUCCUCCCAGUGAAAGGACAUCCAGGAUGGGCGGUGGAGAAAAGCAGGGACCUGACAGGAAAAGCCUUGCUCUGGGGGGAGGAAGAGCAGCAGCCCCAGGUGGGGUGAGGAGCAGCUGAGGGGCUGCAGAACUGGCAGGGAGCACUAAACGAAGUGGCCCACCUGCUGGACCCUCAGGGUGCUAGGAAGCCAGGGAAAGGUUCUCAAGGGAGGGGACCAGGAACCCAGCAGCAGCCCAGGAAGCAGGAGGGAGCAGGAGGUGGAUGCCCAGAUGAGUGCCGUCCAGAAAGGAGGGUGCGAAACCUCACCAGAGGUCCUGGUCGCCUGGAGUGGAGCAGACUGAGACCCAGUCACGGGAUUUCUCCAUGUGCAGACAGGACACCGGAGGGACCAGGACCUCAUAAUGAGCUCAGAGGAGGUGGGAGGACAGCACACACAGAAGAUCUUUCCAAGGAGGUUCAAGGGCAGCCAGGAGAGAGUGCUUUGUAGAGGUGAGCAAGUAGCCUCCGAGGGCUGAUAGGGACGCGUGUGUGGGCUGGGUGCAGGGAGACUGCAGCUGCUGCAUAGGCCAUGAACAGGGGCGCCUGUGCUCAGGGUGGCCUCCCAAGGUGGGCACGGCGCACUGCCCGAAGAGCAGUGGGCAAGCAGGCCAUCCACAGGUUCAGCCGCAGGGCAGGCGCCUGCCUCCCACACCACCAUACUGCAGUGACAUGGGAAGGAAGGGCUCUGGCUGCAAACACGAGGGGAAAGAUGGGUUUCACCUGAGGAGGGGGCGGAGCCCCGGGGCUAG